CUAGAUCAGAAGCGAGAAUGUUGACAUGAGUAGCGACAAACAGGGUGAGAGACCCUGUCGCCGUAAGUCCAAGGGUUCCUGCUUAAAGCUAAUCUGAGCAGGGUAAGCCGGCCCCUAAGGCGAGGCCGAAAGGCGUAGUCGAUGGGAACCAGGUUAAUAUUCCUGGGCCAGAAGGAUGUGACGGAUCUCAAAGGUAGUUUGCCCUUAUCGGAUUGGGUGGGCUGCUCAGAGGUUCCUGGAAAUAGCCCUUCAUGAGACCGUACCCUAAACCGACACAGGUGGACUGGUAGAGUAUACCAAGGCGCUUGAGAGAACCACAUCAGAGGAACUCGGCAAAAUGCCUCCGUAAGAUCGCGAGAAGGAGGCCCUGUUCUUACGCAAGUAGGGGCAGGGGGCACAAACUAGGGGGUGGCGACUGUUUACUUAAAACACAGGGCUCUGCGAAGUCGUAAGACGACGUAUAGGGUCUGACGCCUGCCCGGUGCUGGAAGAUUAAGAGGAGGGGUGCAAGCUCUGAAUUGAAGUCCCAGUAAACGGCGGCCGUAACAAUAACGGUCCUAAGGUAGCGAAAUUCCUUGUCGGGUAAGUUCCGACCUGCACGAAUGGCGUAACGAUCUCCCCGCUGUCUCUGAUGUGGACUCAGCGAAAUUGAACUGUGUGUCAAGAUGCACACUUCCCGCGGUUAGACGGAAAGACCCCAUGCACCUUUACUCCAGCUUCGCACUGGUAUCAGGAUUGUGAUGUGCAGGAUAGGUGGUAGGCAUCGAAGCGGGGACGCUAGUCCUCGUGGAGCCUCCCUUGAGAUACCACCCUUCGCCAUCUUGAUAUCUAACCGCGGUCCGUUAUCCGGAUCCGGGACCCUGCGUGGUGGGGAGUUUGACUGGGGCGGUCGCCUCCCAAAUCGUAACGGAGGCGCGCGAAGGUAGGCUCAGACCGGUCGGAAAUCGGUCGUUGAGUGCAAUGGCAGAAGCCUGCCUGACUGCAAGACUGACAAGUCGAGCAGAGACGAAAGUCGGUCAUAGUGAUCCGGUGGUCCCAAGUGGGAGGGCCAUCGCUCAACGGAUAAAAGGUACGCUGGGGAUAACAGGCUGAUGAUGCCCAAGAGUCCAUAUCGACGGCAUCGUUUGGCACCUCGAUGUCGGCUCAUCUCAUCCUGGGGCUGGAGCAGGUCCCAAGGGUAUGGCUGUUCGCCAUUUAAAGAGGUACGUGAGCUGGGUUUAGAACGUCGUGAGACAGUUCGGUCCCUAUCUGCCGUGGGUGUAGGAGACUUGAGAAGAGUUGCCCCUAGUACGAGAGGACCGGGGUGAACGAACCACUGGUGGACCAGUUAUCGUGCCAACGGUAGUGCUGGGUAGCUAUGUUCGGACAGGAUAACCGCUGAAGGCAUCUAAGCGGGAAGCCCCCUUCAAAACAAGGUCUCCCUGAGGGCCGUGGAAGACCACCACGUCGAUAGGCCAGAGGUGUAAGAGCAGUAAUGCUUUCAGCUGACUGGUACUAAUUGCCC
rnacentral:rRNA from 1 species